UACGGGAGGCAGCAGGAGGGAAUCUUCCGCGAUGGACGAAGGUCUGACGGAGCAACGCCGCGUGAGCGAUGAAGGUCUUCGGAUCGUAAAGCUCUGUUGUUAGGGAAGAACAAGUACCGUUCGAAUAGGGCGGUACCUUGACGGUACCUAACCAGAAAGCCACGGCUAACUACGUGCCAGCGACCGCGGUAAU
rnacentral:rRNA from 1 species